rnacentral:rRNA from 1 species
UCCAGACUCCUACGGGAGGCAGCAGUGGGGGAUAUUGCACAAUGGGGGAAACCCUGAUGCAGCGACGCCGCGUGAGUGAAGAAGUAUUUCGGUAUGUAAAGCUCUAUCAGCAGGGAAGAAAAAAGACGGUACCUGACUAAGAAGCCCCGGCUAACUACGUGCCAGCAGCCGCGGUAAUACGUAGGGGGCAAGCGUUAUCCGGAUUUACUGGGUGUAAAGGGAGCGUAGACGGCAAUACAAGUCGGAAGUGAAAUACCCGGGCUCAACCUGGGAACUGCUUUGGAAACUGUAUGGCUGGAGUGCUGGAGAGGUAAGCGGAAUUCCUAGUGUAGCGGUGAAAUGCGUAGAUAUUAGGAGGAACACCAGUGGCGAAGGCGGCUUACUGGACAGUAACUGACGUUGAGGCUCGAAAGCGUGGGGAGCAAACAGGAUUAGAUACCCCCGUAU